rnacentral:rRNA from 1 species
UGCGGCGUGCUUAACACAUGCAAGUCGAACGGAAAGGCCCUGCUUUUGUGGGGUGCUCGAGUGGCGAACGGGUGAGUAACACGUGAGUAACCUGCCCUUGACUUUGGGAUAACUUCAGGAAACUGGGGCUAAUACCGGAUAGGAGCUCCUGCUGCAUGGUGGGGGUUGGAAAGUUUCGGCGGUUGGGGAUGGACUCGCGGCUUAUCAGCUUGUUGGUGGGGUAGUGGCUUACCAAGGCUUUGACGGGUAGCCGGCCUGAGAGGGUGACCGGCCACAUUGGGACUGAGAUACGGCCCAGACUCCUACGGGAGGCAGCAGUGGGGAAUAUUGCACAAUGGGCGGAAGCCUGAUGCAGCAACGCCGCGUGCGGGAUGACGGCCUUCGGGUUGUAAACCGCUUUCGCCUGUGACGAAGCGUGAGUGACGGUAAUGGGUAAAGAAGCACCGGCUAACUACGUGCCAGCAGCCGCGGUGAUACGUAGGGUGCGAGCGUUGUCCGGAUUUAUUGGGCGUAAAGGGCUCGUAGGUGGUUGAUCGCGUCGGAAGUGUAAUCUUGGGGCUUAACCCUGAGCGUGCUUUCGAUACGGGUUGACUUGAGGAAGGUAGGGGAGAAUGGAAUUCCUGGUGGAGCGGUGGAAUGCGCAGAUAUCAGGAGGAACACCAGUGGCGAAGGCGGUUCUCUGGGCCUUUCCUGACGCUGAGGAGCGAAAGCGUGGGGAGCGAACAGGCUUAGAUACCCUGGUAGUCCACGCUGUAAACGGUGGGUACUAGGUGUGGGGUCCAUUCCACGGGUUCCGUGCCGUAGCUAACGCUUUAAGUACCCCGCCUGGGGAGUACGGCCGCAAGGCUAAAACUCAAAGGAAUUGACGGGGCCCCGCACAAGCGGCGGAGCAUGCGGAUUAAUUCGAUGCAACGCGUAGAACCUUACCUGGGUUUGACAUGGAUCGGGAGUGCUCAGAGAUGGGUGUGCCUCUUUUGGGGUCGGUUCACAGGUGGUGCAUGCCUGUCGUCAGCUCGUGUCGUGAGAUGUUGGGUUAAGUCCCGCAACGAGCGCAACCCUUGUUCACUGUUGCCAGCACGUUAUGGUGGGGACUCAGUGGAGACCGCCGGGGUCAACUCGGAGGAAGGUGGGGAUGACGUCAAGUCCUCAUGCCCCUUAUGUCCAGGGCUUCACGCAUGCUACAAUGGCUGGUACAGAGAGUGGCGAGCCUGUGAGGGUGAGCGAAUCUCGGAAAGCCGGUCUCAGUUCGGAUUGGGGUCUGCAACUCGACCUCAUGAAGUCGGAGUCGCUAGUAAUCGCAGAUCAGCAACGCUGCGGUGAAUACGUUCCCGGGGCUUGUACACACCGCCCGUCAAGUCAUGAAAGUUGGUAACACCCGAAGCCGGUGGCCUAACCGUUGUGGGGGAGCCGUCGAAGGUGGGACUGGUGAUUAG